rnacentral:tRNA from 1 species
CGGAGAAUAUCUACCCUCCCUAAGACU